GUCCACGCUACUAGACCCCCGGUAUAAGCAGAAAGUGGCGGAAAUGUUACCGAAUUACAACAAGUAUGAAAGGAUGCAGCAUUUGCAAAAUAAAUUUAAAAGAAUGCUUUACACAGCGUAUAAGGGUGAUGUCACAGCACAACGGGAAUCUAACAGGGAGAGAGGUGGAAGUCAUCCUCCUCCUCCCAUGACCACGCCGGCAAGGACAGGACGCUUUAGAGAC